UUUUGAUCUCAUUCAGGUCCCUCCAGCACAUCUUACCUGCCCUAAAUGACCCGGUAUGUGGCAGACUAGUCAUACCAAAGUUGGAAUACUUAGGAAGAAAUUAAACGGCUGUUUGGGCCCAAACCUUAAGGCUCCUGUUCCAAAUCCCUCUCCUAAAACCACCUACAUCUCCCUCAUUUCUCACAGCAUGUCUAUCAUUAUAUGUCCCUUUUGAACUGUAAGCUACACAGGGCACAGAUCGUAUCUGUGGCUGUAAACAUAUUUGCCUUGGUCCCCAGCACAAUGCCUGGUACGUGGGAGGUGCUUAGCAAACAUUUGUUAAAUGAGAAGGGGCGAGAGAGGGAAGCCUGGAGGUCAGGUGGCAGGCAUCCUAGCUUGAGUUUCAGCCACACGCUGCCUCAGGAACCACGCAGCCCACUGGCAGAGUUGAGGGUUGACAGGAAUUCCGAGACUGCGGUGCCUGGGGCAAUGUGGUAAAAGCUAUUUUUGUUUCCUCAUGUCUAAACAAUGACAUUUGUCAAUGGACAUAUACAGAAGUGAAUUCAAUCCUGGUUAGUGUGACAUUCUUCUACACGCUGCCGGCUCUUAUCUGUGUGUGUACUAUAGUUCUCCUCUGUACAAAGGGGAUUUAAAAAGAGGCUCUAAUAUCAGAGAUUUUGCUCAAUAACUAAAAUUAUAAGUGACCUUUUUCAGAGUUCCUUUAGAGACAAAAUAGCUUGUAUAUACAAAGUUUUGUUACCAUUACAUGUGUUUAGAAGCGUUUUUACCUUUGAAUAAUCUAAAUAGUUGGCCUCUUAUAAUAAUGAUGUAAAUAAUGAAGCAGUCAAGUGGAGCGGUUCACAGCAUACAUUUACAAUCAAAGAGACCUGGGUUCAGACAAUUUCUCAAAAAUAUUAUGCAAGAUAAAACAAGCACAAAAUUGCAAUCAUAUGAUAGUAUCUACCCCCACGGUAUAGGUGGGAGGAUUAAGUAAUUAAAUAUAAAAGGUUUAGAAUAGUGCCUGGCACAUGGUAUAUAUAAAUGCUUGCUGUUAUUAUUUUGCAUUUUAAAAAAAGUCUGAGAGGGGGAGGGGCAUUAAAAUAAACAUAAACAAGAAAAAAAAUCUGAGCCCCAAAGAGAUUACAAGACUUGCCCAAGCUUACACCGAAAUAUUCGAAGUUAAGCCUAAAACUCAAGUUUUAACCCCCACUCCCGGCAACUGUACUACAUAAUGCCACACAGAUUAUACUGUUUUUUUUUUGUUGUUUAUUUUUUGUUUUUAAGUAACUCGCUUUUUUUCCUUUGCCUUUUGCAUUUUACACUGAACAAUAAUUUCCUAGCUUUCAGGAAAUAGUAAUUUUUAAAUGCUUACCACCUGAUUAUAUUCAUUAAAGAUUUCCAAAAUAGUCCCUAGUCUAGCAAAGUAGAAAUCACACCAUUAUUAUAUUAUUACAGAGCUGAAGAAAGAGAAUAUAUUUCUCUUCCAAAACUUCUAUGAGAGUCAAUAUAAUUCCUAUUAUACUUUCUCUGCUAUUUUAUUAUCCUUUUCUUUAUUAGAGGUUUAGAUUUGAAGCCACUCAAGAAAAAGGAUAGGAAUGGAAAGAGAUUUAAAUUGCUCUUUGUCCAUAUUAAGGCCAAAGCUUUAGCAGAUAAGGGCAAAGGGAAGGUUAAGACACAAUGGUCAAAUGCUGUGACCUAAUUACGUCUGGACUUACUUAUUUUCUUGUCCUUUCAUUAAUGAGAAUCAUCUAAUUUAGACUCAGUUAUCAUGUAACAAUAAAAGCCAUAUAUGUUUAAACAUAUAGCUUUGCCUUGAUGUAAUUACUUUCUAAAUGGGAAAUAUUUAUGGAGCAGAAUCAUCCAGGCUGAAUCAAAGGAAAGAGAACAAAAGAAAGUUGGUUUACAUGAGGUUUUUGUUGUGUUUUUCUUUUCUUAUAUAUGUUCUGGCACUUUUAUGUUUAAGCCAAAAACUGGAGGCAGAAAUGAAGAGAAUUCUACAGCCAGAUGGGCGCUUAGAUGACAGAAUGGCAAGAAGGGAUGUUUGAGAUAAUCUUAUGUUUCAGGGAACUGACACAGUUUCGUAAAUCACUGGGAUGGUGAAUGGCCAGGACUAGGGCCAGAUGCCCUGAUUCCCUAUGCAACUUUCCUUCCCCCUACCCUGGCCCCUCCCAUCACCACUGCCUCUCCCACCACUCAGCACCUUUGCAGCCCUGCUGGGUCCCAUUGCCUCCAAAACCCUUCUUCAUGGUAACUUCUGCUGUCUGGGGCUUUAUUUUCUGAUCAUUCGUUGUGACUCUUCUUCUUAAACCAUCAUUUGACUCUUUCAUAUAUAUCUGUCUAGCGAAAAAUAUACAUGUAUAUAUAUUUGCAACCCUCUUAGGAUAUAGUAUAGCAACAGGCCCAUAAUGAGCACUGAAUAUUUACUGACAGGAUGAGGGAAUAAAUGAAUUGCUCUUGAUGUUUGCAGAGAGCACUCCCUAACAGUUCUCUCAUAAUUUUUCUUCUCCACAAUAUAAUUCAUAACGAAUGCUAACUUUACAUUUUACCAAAGACCCAACUACAUCUGUUUAUGUUCAUUUCACUACAUACAUGAAGUUUUAAGUCAUAUGCACAAUCAAAAGAAUAUUUAUAUUCUCUCUGAAGGAAAAUAUGGUCUCAAAUAUAACUGUUUGAAAGUCAUUCAUCACAUCUCUGGAAGAAGUCCUCCUAUAGCCAUCCUGGUGCUAGGAGUAAAAUUGCUGAAAGAAAAUAGAAAUGUACCCUACUGCAAAGAUAAACAUUAAAAUACACACUGAUGCCUCUAGAAGAGCAAUUAUCCUUUGGGGAGUUUAUUUGCUUUAAAAAAUACUUCUUGCUGGAUGCUUUCCCCCCAAAUCUGAACAUAUGAAUAUACUUUGAAACAAGGAUUGGGCAUAGAUAUUGCUUUCUUUAAUAUGUGUUCUGAAAUUGACUAAAGGAACAGGCUGGCUGUGGGGAUAAUAUAUUCAUAUUGGAUCCUAUCUCAAACUUGUUACUGUGAAACACUUGGUAUUCUAAGAGUAUUAGGGUAGUUAUAUAAAACUAGAUUUACUCUAUUUUCUCAAAUGCUCCAACACUGAAGAUUCAAGCUUCUUAUGCUGAAAGUUUAUUUUUAAGAGAUUGCUUUUACAUUAAAGGGCUAAAGAAUGAAUUACUUUCAACUUCAAAUUUUACAUAAUGCUUAUCAGCCAAUAUACGAAGAUUUUCAAUUUUUACUUAAAAUAUUGACUAUGUUAUUAAAAGCAACAGGCCAAUUAAGGCCUUUGAAAUAAUAUAAGGUACAAAAGGAGAAGAAAAGAAGAAAAAUCACCUGAUUCCUUAAACAAAGUAACAAAGUAACUAGUUGACAGAUGAAAUUUCCUCUUCUAGUUAGGUAUUAUGUAGUCUCAACCAUAAAGAGCAGGUGAAUUUGGCUGUGUUAAAAUCUAAGUAAAAAAUACCUUGUUAUUCACCUUUAAUAUUACCCACUUGUCCUUCUUUCCAUUGAACUACUUGAGUCAUCUCCCCCGUGCCGCUGUGAACUGUGCUCAUACUUUAGCUGGCCACAAACGUUAAGUCAAGCUCUUAAAUAUCCGUUCUAGUUUCACAUAUGCUACUACCUAGCUGUGUAGCAAGGACAAGUGGCUUAACGUUGUGGUUAUCAGAUUCUUUAUCUCUCAAAAAGGGGAUGGAUUAGACUUGGGCUCCUCUCCUUGCUCCCAUCCCCAACUACCCUCCAUAUCGUACUGCAGGGACAGGCCCUCAUCCAUCGUAACAGCGACUUGCUUAGACAAUGCAUGGAGUGAGGCUCCCUGAGAUCAGAAUCCCAAAGGUGAGGCAGAGCCAGGAAUGGCUGCAUGGACCAAGCUCUAAGGAUCCAGAACUAAGCCCUAUAGUUCUGUAAUGUGAGCGCCACCUUUACAUCAGGUUCUAAAGACAAUGCUCUUUUUUCAACCAACAGGCAACUACUGCUGUCUAUGAGACAUGAGACUUUAUCCAUUAAUUAACUAUGUCUAUUAAGAACAGGUACAGCAGACAGAUGCUGUAUAAGGGAUAUAAUCCCUGUUCACUAUCCUAGGUUCCCCAAACUCUACCUCUUUACAGGCCUGAUGAGCAAAUUAAGCAUACCUGGACAAUUUCAGUGCACAAGACAACUGAAACCUGCCUUUCCUGCUGAAAUGCCUUCUAAGAAUUAACAAUUUAAAGCCAUGAUUUUGGUCUUUACAGGGUCAUUAGUAAGAAAUAGCCAUAAAAUGCAAUUUAUAAAAUUCAAAAUAAACUCUGCUAUGCUACCUGGUACCACUUGUGUUAAGAGCCAUGUGACAAGCACCUCUUAGUCAUUAAAUACCAGGAAAAAAGUACACUUUUUUUUCUUGAGAUGGAGUCUUGCUCUAUCACCCAGGCUGGAGUGCAAUGGCGCUAUCUUGGCCCACUGCAACCUCCACCUCCUGGGUUCAAGCAAUUCUCCUGCUUCAGCCUCCUGAGUAGCUGGGAUUACAGGAGUGUGCCACCAUGCCCGGCUAAUAUUUUGUAUUUUUAGUAAAGAUGGGGUUUCACCAUGUUGGCUAGGCUGGUCUCGAACUCCUGACCUCGUGACCCGCCCACCUAAACCUCCCAGAGUGCUGGGAUUACAGGUGUGAGCCACUGCACCUGGCCUGAAAAAAAUACACUUUCAUGAGAAAAUUACAACUAUAUGAAUAACCAGGUUUCCCUUUCCCCACAGCUAACAGGAGACUAAAUGCCAAAUUUAAUGCUUAAACAGAUAGUGGACAUUAAGUUCUCCAUAAAAUAUUCUCAUCUAAUACAUUUCUAGUUUAUAAUUUUUAUUCCAACUGACUUUUUUUUAAUGUAUUUUUUCAUUUACCACUUUAGACAUGCCUGAAGUAAGUGAAUAUAUAAAUAUAUACAGGCCAGGACAGUGUCACAGGGAAACGUAAGGAACCGAAUGCAGUGUUGACUACACAGCCUCCUCCCCACUGGGGGAUGGGACGCACCCUGCCACCCUUGGCAGUUGAGGUCAGGCUGACCAUGAGGAAAGAAACGGUCAUGUGGAUUCAACUGCUGAAUUCAACUAACCACACCAGCACUUCAACCCAACUAUAUUCAUUCAUCUAGGAGUUUCUUUGAGCUCAGCAAUGUUGUUUCUUGAUCCUUUGACAAAAUUAAUGAUGUAGCAAUUCAUUACUGACAGGGCAAAAAAUUUUGCCACAAUGUUUACAAGCUCUAAUAAAUUAUGGAUAAUUUACCAAAUUAAUACCAGUGAAGUGAAGCCCGCCUUUUUAGAUUUUCAUUUAUCAUUCUACCUAGCUCUUUCCUCCCCUCCGCCCAUCGUCUGUCUCUCUCUCCAUCUCUCUCUCUCUCACAUACAAGCAGAUAGCGUCAUUUUUAAGCUUAUAUUUUUUCUAAAUCAGCAUUCUAGGUCACUUUUUGUGAAAUGAAGUUGAAAGUAUUUAUUAGGUUGCUUGCACCCACAGCAACAGUAUUUCUGUAACAGAUUUUGACUUGAGAAUCAAAGUUUGAAUAUAGUAUAAUUGGUAUGUUCUAGCUUGGUCCCAUGGCCCAUUAAAAAAAACUAGAAUUAGACAUAAAGUAAUGAAGGAUCCUAUAAAAGAAGCUGAGCAUCAUUUUUUAAAAAAGUUCCUAAUAUGUAGUAAACUCACCAUUGUGAAUAUCAAACUGUGUUGAGUACCUACUGUGCAGAAGACAGACUCCUCCAUCAAGAAAUUUUUAAAUCUAGUGCAAAAAAUAAAAUAGAAAAGAGAGCUUCCUUUUAUACAUUUAAUAUUUGGGUUUGGAAACAAUAUAUUGGUGUAUGAGCUUAUAAAGCCAAAUUAUUCUUAGCAUCCAGAUAAUUUCUUGUGGCAAUAAUGGGAACUUUUAUUUAUAAUGUAAUAUUUAUAUUGGAACAGCCAGCAUUAAAUUACUGAGCUGUUUGUGUUAUAAAAUACACAAAAAGGAAAGGCCUCAUUUUCAGAGGAUUCACAAACCAACAUGAAAGUCAGUGGGGUACAAAAGUAAUCACCCACCAGCUCUGCAACCCUUAUGAUGACCAUGAGAGGGAUGCAUGGGUUUUCUCAAAGCCAUACCCAAUUCUAGGGGAAGAAAACUCAUUAAAUAACUCCUUUGCAAAGAGCAGGGCUUAGUUAAUAGUCCAUGCUCUUUAAGGACCAAACCUUUAAAGAGAGAUCACUCUUAUUUGCUAUUUUUGAAUAAUUCCACACUAACAGCUUAUCUCCAGCUGGCUAUCUUCGGUUACAUCUGACUUUCCCCAAGCACCCCACUUUCCUGCCCCAUCAUUAAAACCUGGGAGUCAUCUCACCACCUGCUCCUUUUGUGUUCCCUCCUGUGGUCAGAUGCUUUCUUUCUCUUCCAAGUUCUUGGGACACCUACUUUCUUUUUAUUUUAUUUUUAAAAGUUAUUAUUAUUAUUAUUGUCAUUAUUUUAAGACAGGGCCUCAUUCUUUUGCCUGAGCUGGAGUACUGAGGCUCUAUCAUAGCUCACUGCAGCCUCCACCUCCUAGGCUCAAAUGUUCCUUCUGCCUCAGCCUCCUAAGUAGCUGGGACAACAGGUGUGAGCCACUAUGUCUGGCUAAUUUUCAUUUUUUGUAGAAAUGGGGUCUCACUAUGCUUUCUAGGCUUAGGCUGGCCUCCAGCUCCCGGCCACAAGUGAUCCUCCCACCUCAGCCUCCCAAAGUGCUGGGAUAACAGGCAUGAGCCACUGCACCCGGCCAUGCUUUCUUUUCCUUUCCUUGAGUCUCCUUGUAUCUAAAUUUACAUCCCUCUUGCUUGCACUGUGGCAGCAGACUCCUAACUGGGCUUUCGGUCUCCAGUCUCACCUGACCUUAAGAUUAUUCUUUCUAAAGUGCAAUUCUCAAUUCUUUGCAGUCUUGUUCGCAAGUCAUCAGAACCCUCCCUCUACCUUCCUGGUACAAACAACUUCUCAGUUUAUCAUUUGAGAACCUCCUCCUUGGGACUACUAUUUGCCUCCAUCAGGUUCCCUCCCUCAGUCAAAGUGGUCUCAACUACUGUGCUCUACAAGGAUUACGCCUGCUAUUUUCCUCCUCAGCCUGCAGAGGGGAUGGGCAGGGGCUGGGCAGGAGCUAGGGAGGCUGUGGGGUUGGGGAGGGACACUCUGCAGGCCUGUUGCUUCCCACCCUCCAGCAGCUGGGUCUAUUUACCCAAGUGUCCAGCAUAAAUCAUUUUCUGGAAUAUGCUCCAGGCAAAGUGGCUUGACAAAUUACUGUUAAAGGCAGAACUUCUUGUCUCUGUCUUGGCUCCUAGCCUUCCCUCCAUUCUGCAUUUUCAAAAUCCUGCCAUUUCACACCCUUCUCUCCUAAGAAAUCCUUCCUGACCUUCCCGCCAACAUGGGGCUUCCUCUUUCACACAUAUACAGCAUUUGGUAUGUGCUUGAUGGUAUUAGUUGUAUUUGCCCUGCAAUUAGCGGAUGAUACUCUAAUUGUCCUGUGUCUGUUAUUAGGAU